AUUGAACGCUGGCGGUAGGCCUAACACAUGCAAGUCGAACGCGAAAGUCCUUCGGGAUGAGUAGAGUGGCGGACGGGUGAGUAACGCGUAGGAAUCUGUCCUGUAGUGGGGGAUAACGUUUCGAAAGGAACGCUAAUACCGCAUACGCCCUACGGGGGAAAGCGGGGGAUCUUCGGACCUCGUGCUAUAGGAGGAGCCUGCGUCGGAUUAACUAGUUGGUGAGGUAAAGGCUCACCAAGGCGACGAUCCGUAGCUGGUCUGAGAGGAUGAUCAGCCACACCGGAACUGAGACACGGUCCGGACUCCUACGGGAGGCAGCAGUGGGGAAUAUUGCGCAAUGGGCGAAAGCCUGACGCAGCCAUACCGCGUGUGUGAAGAAGGCCUUCGGGUUGUAAAGCACUUUCAGUGGGGAGGAAAAGCUGGUGGCUAAUAUCCAUCGGCCGUGACGCUACCCACAGAAGAAGCACCGGCUAAUUCCGUGCCAGCAGCCGCGGUAAGAC
rnacentral:rRNA from 1 species